UGGAAGUUUCAGCCAGUGGACCAGUGGUGACUUUUGUUUGUGAAAAUUAAAGUGGUGACUUCCUGUGUAUACAGACUACACUUCCAAAAACAACGGACGAUUCCCUCCAAUUUGAAAAUAUAGGAAAACCUAUUCUUUCAUUGAUCGGGAUAUGAUUAACAGAAUCUGUCAUAUAGGUGUCCGCCUCCAGCACGUAUUUAUUCGUUCAUUGAACUGGAGGCACGCGAGAUUAAUAGAAUCGCACUUAUAGGACUUCGGCCAAUUUUUCGUCCUAGAUUACUGCUCUUCUUCCCCAGGUAUCUUUGUUUUUCACCCAGCAGACGCGAUUAACAGUGGAGUUAGGAUUGUGCUGUUAGAUUAUGCUUUAUCGUCAUUGUCAAUAUUUUAUGUUUAAUCCAUUUCCUCCUUCUCUUUCAGUGUAGGUUUCAAGAUCGUUGCAGAACUCAUUUUUCUCCUUCAAUUUCUUGUCUUUAUCACCAAAACAAUCUGCUUACCAGGUACAAAUUCAUGCCUUUAACUGUUGCGAUUUGAAAUUUGUGAAAGUACACUUUUUCUCUGCAAAUGCGAGUCGUUUGUUAUAUCUGGCUGCUGUUAAAUUGACGUGCGAUGAUUGGGUUUAUUCCCCCUCUAGUCCUUGACUGUUUUAUGAUUUUGUUCCUCUGUUUUCUGCUAUUCUUGUAAUUACUCAAAAAUUUUAUAAGUGUCGCCGAUACAUAUUGAUGUUUUUAAUGAAUCUACCACUAGUCGAGAUAUGAAUUCCUUUGUAUGUUUUGUUAUUCUUGUCAUUUUUCAAAAAUUUUAAGAGUCGUCGAUGCAUAUUGGUGUUUUCAUUGAACCUACCAUUAGUCGAGAUAUAUUCCUCUGUAUAUUUUAUGUUAUACUUCUCAAAAAUCUGCCAAUCAAAUGCAAAGGUGAUGAUUACAAUUGAUUUUGGGUUGAUGCUACUCGAAUAUGCUCAAUCAUCGCUGUCACAGUAUAGCUUUUUUUGUGUUUGCUAAGUCAUUUGUGAUAUCUCCCUACUUGUUGUCAUAUUGAUAGUCGAUUGAUUGAACUUAUUCUUCCUAUGUUACUCUAUUGUUGUUUGUUUGUUUGCUGCAUUUUUGUUGUUUACUCUGAUUGAUAUAUGUUUGUUAUAUCUGCUGCCUUUUUGUGUUUACAAUUUCUAUUUUCUUGUCUUUGAAUUGGUUCCUCUGUAUUUUUUCUAAGGCUACUGCUAGGAGGAACAAAGCUAAUAAUAUUUUGGGUUGUGGCCUCUCUAUUUUCUGCCUUUUUAAUAUUUCUUGAACCCUGCCCUUCCUACUCAUCUGAAUUAUUUUAGUCAGCGGACAUGAUUCUUUGUAAGAAUCUAUUUAUUCUAAAGCAAAACAAACAAAAGUAAUGUAGUGUCUUAUAAGAUGUAUAGUCAUAUGCUAAGGUAAUUACAUAGACCCUAUUACUAGAACCGAGCAAGGAAUACACAAUCCUGAUAGUGCAUUCUGAACUAAUUAAAGAAUGAUAAAGAAAUAUAAGAAUGUAGUAAGGUUCUUGAAUAAAAACUAGCACUAAGCAUGCCAUGAUGGCAUCUGUAUAACUCAUUGCCUUGUAACUCUAUCUUUCGUGCAUAAUGUAGAUCAUGAUCUGUCCCAUGGUGUGUCCACCCUGCUGCAUGUAUUGAAGGAAAAGGCAUAGAAGCAGAGCAUGUAUCAUGUAGGCACUCACUCAAGCAGUUAUUAGCAUAGCAUUUGUUGGUGUAGUACUUGGCCUCAAGUUUUGUAUAUAUUUUCUGCUUGUAAUCUUGAUGACUCGGCAGAUACAUGAAGGCAUGUCCCUAAUUGCAGAUGUAACUACAUGACCUGGAUAUUGUUUCCAAAACCAGCCUAUUGCCUGAUAAAGUAACAAAAAUUUUGUUGAAAUUUUGCAAUUCCUAUUCUUGUAGUCAUCUCUCCUAGGUAGUAUUUGAGCUCCAAUAUAUGCUUGAUCACUAUGUUUAUAACUAGCCUCUUUAGGUGAUUUGAUCCUUGGGACUAGUAUUGUGAAUCUGCAUUUGGCUAUUGUCCAGAAUUAACCAUCUCAUGCUGCAUAUAUGUGAAAGUACCUGGGAAGAAUGCAACAACGCCUCUAUCUGGACUCGAAAACUUCCUGUAUAUUGCUUUCAGCUUACUUUCUGUAGCACCCAAGUGAUAGCUAACCAAUUUCUUUGCAAACUCCUUGUUACACAAAAAGCUAAGUCAAUGAGACUAUAAUGAAAACUAAAUAAAACUAAAACGAGUUUUUGAGGAAAACUACAUGAAUUGAUCUUCUGAGUAGCUAGUAUGGUGCUGUAGAUUUUGAGUCCAUAAUGGAGUUUGUUCCAGUGAAUGUCAAAGCUGGAAUAAUUUUCCAACGAACCUUAUGCUUCACAAGUGUGUGUAUUGUGUUUUCGUACCUAUAAAGUGUGAACUGAUCUUCUGAGUUGCUAGUAUGGUGCUUCAGAGUUUGAGUCCAUAAUGGAGUUUGUUCCAGUGAAUGUCUUCAGUGAAUGUCAAAGCUGAUUAAGACAUUCGCUGGUGUUUCUGGUGACAUUCGCUUCAAAUCAAACAUUCGUUGAUUAAGAUAAUUUCUCUACAUGUGUUAUUAGCUUCCAAAAGUUUGUAAUUGAUUAAGACAUAUGUUGAAAUAUAGUUACUGUUGCAUAUAUCCAAACAUAAGUCAGGAACCGAAAUAUAGGUAAAAGUUUGUAACUGAUUAAGAGAUAUCUUGAAUGUUGACUUGAACCGAAAUGCAGGUGAACUAUGUUCCUUCUGAUGGAUAAACAAUGUUUUAACUUAAGUUGGAAUGACUUAUGCUCUUCAGAAGCUCCUUAAUCCUAGUUCUUUUAGAAGAAAAAUCAUAAAACCAAUCUAUACGGCCUGUGGAAUAGUGUUCCAAAUGUUACUUGUAUUUUUUUAAUAGGAUAUGUUACUUGCAUUUUUGUUGAGACCUCUUCUCCUCCAACAUUUUAGAAACUCUAUCAUUAAGUUAGGCAUUGACCAACUAGUUCCCAGGAUAUUUAGGAAAAGACUCCAGAUUUGAGUGGUGACUUUGCAGGAAAAAUAGAAGAUUAAAAUCCUCUAGUUGUUCCUUGCAUAAAGAGAAUCUACUGCAUAAAUGGAGACCUCUUCUCUGGAUAGCCAAUGACUCUGCCUCAUUGUUUGUUGUCUCAUGUAUUUCCUUCCCUCUUACAUAAUGUACAUCUCCUUCUUCAUCCAUCAACACAAAACCUAUGGAACUUCUUCCUGAUUUUCCUCGAUAUGUUCCAUCUUUAUUUACUUUUAUCCACCUUAUGCUAGGAAACUAC
rnacentral:lncRNA from 1 species